rnacentral:tRNA from 1 species
GGGGAUAUAGCUCAGUUGGUAGAGUGUUUGCCUUGUAUGAACAAGGCCCUGGGUUCAAUCCCCAGCACCA